ACUCCUACGGGAGGCAGCAGUGGGGAAUAUUGCACAAUGGGCGCAAGCCUGAUGCAGCCAUGCCGCGUGUAUGAAGAAGGCCUUCGGGUUGUAAAGUACUUUCAGCGGGAAGGAAGGCAAUACGGUUAAUAACCGUGUUGAUUGACGUUACCCGCAGAAGAAGCACCGGCUAACUCCGUGCCAGCAGCCGCGGUAAUACGGAGGGUGCAAGCGUUAAUCGGAAUUUCUGGGCGUAAAGCGCACGCAGGCGGUCUGUCAAGUCGGAUGUGAAAUCCCCGGGCUCAACCUGGGAACUGCAUUCGAAACUGGCAGGCUUGAGUCUUGUAGAGGGGGGUAGAAUUCCAGGUGUAGCGGUGAAAUGCGUAGAGAUCUGGAGGAAUACCGGUGGCGAAGGCGGCCCCCUGGACAAAGACUGACGCUCAGGUGCGAAAGCGUGGGGAGCAAACAGGAUUAGAAACCCGGGUAGUCCC
rnacentral:rRNA from 1 species